AACACGCUGGCGGCAGGCCUAACACAUGCAAGUCGAGCGCCCCGCAAGGGGAGCGGCGGACGGGUGAGUAACGCGUGGGAACGUACCCUUUGCUACGGAAUAGCCUCGGGAAACUGGGAGUAAUACCGUACGUGCCCUUCGGGGGAAAGAUUUAUCGGCAAAGGAUCGGCCCGCGUUGGAUUAGGUAGUUGGUGGGGUAAUGGCCUACCAAGCCGACGAUCCAUAGCUGGUUUGAGAGGAUGAUCAGCCACACUGGGACUGAGACACGGCCCAGACUCCUACGGGAGGCAGCAGUGGGGAAUCUUAGACAAUGGGCGCAAGCCUGAUCUAGCCAUGCCGCGUGAGCGAUGAAGGCCUUAGGGUUGUAAAGCUCUUUCAGUGGGGAAGAUAAUGACUGUACCCACAGAAGAAGCCCCGGCUAACUCCGUG
rnacentral:rRNA from 1 species